rnacentral:rRNA from 1 species
AUUGAACGCUGGCGGCAUGCCUUACACAUGCAAGUCGAACGCGAAAGCGGAGCAAUCCGCAAGUAGAGUGGCGAACGGGUGAGUAAUACAUCGGAACAUUUCCAGUAGCGGGGGAUAACCUGUCGAAAGAUAGGCUAAUACCGCAUACGCCCUACGGGGGAAAGCGGAGGACCGCAAGGCUUCGCAAUAUUGGAGUGGCCGAUGUCGGAUUAGCUAGUUGGCGGGGUAAAAGCCCACCAAGGCUACGAUCCGUAGCUGGUCUGAGAGGACGAUCAGCCACACUGGAACUGAGACACGGUCCAGACUCCUACGGGAGGCAGCAGUGGGGAAUUUUGGACAAUGGGCGCAAGCCUGAUCCAGCCAUGCCGCGUGAGUGAAGAAGGCCUUCGGGUUGUAAAGCUCUUUCGGUGGGGACGAAACGGUUCGUGCUAAUACCAUGAACUAAUGACGGUACCCGAAGAAGAAGCACCGGCUAACUACGUGCCAGCAGCCGCCGUAA